rnacentral:lncRNA from 1 species
UCUCUCACUAGACUACUCUCUCUCUCUAAACCUUUGAAAAAUGGAAGAACGAAAGUGUGGAGAGGAAGGGAAGCAGGAGGGCAAUUUAUAGAAUUUUAGAACCAUUGAAUUCGUGCCAAGUGGUGAAAUCUAAUGAAGAGAGAGGAGAAAAAGAUGUUUGGCAUAAAAAAUGAGGGAGGAGAGCCUCCUCCACCAGCACACUACCCAAGGUGGUAGAGCUCCGACCAGCAUGCUGCAGGCUAGCCUGCAGGUGCACAGGCUUCAUGUCAUGCGUGAAGGACUACUGCGCAUAAGCCCUAGGAGCACAAGGCCUAUCUACAUAGGCCUGCUGCGCGGACGGUGCGUGCACAGUGUGUGGCGCCUGUCCGCGCGCGAGGUGUUAGAUGGACGACCUACCUGGGAAGGACAGGAUACGCAUAGGUCUUGAUCCUGCGUCGUGCAUGCUGUGCGCAAGUCCCGUGCGUGGGUGGGGAAGGGACAUGUGCGUUGUGUAUACAUACUGUGCGUGGGUGCGUGCAGAUGGGACGUGCACGUUGUGCUCACGGUUCGAGGUCAGGACCUUCGCGCAUCCUGCGUGCAUAGACAAGCAGUCCACGCU